GACGUAGGGGGCGAGCGUUAUCCGGAUUCACUGGGCGUAAAGGGCGCGCAGGCGGUUACGUAAGUCCGGCGUGAAAUCCCACGGCUUAACUGUGGAACUGCGUCGGAUACUGCGUUGACUUGAGGAUGGUAGAGGCCAUUAGAACUAGCGGUGUAGCGGUGAAAUGCGCAGAUAUCGCUAGGAAUGCCGGUGGCGAAGGCGGAUGGCUGGGCCAAUCCUGACGCUGAGGCGCGAAAGCUAGGGGAGCGAACCGG
rnacentral:rRNA from 2 species